rnacentral:rRNA from 1 species
UACGUAGGGGCCGAGCGUUGUCCGGAGUUAUUGGGCGUAAAGCGUGCGCAGGCGGUUUGCUAAGAGAGAUGUGAAAUCCCCGGGCUUAACCUGGGAACUGCGUUUCUAACUGGCAGGCUUGAGUGUGGCAGAGGGGGGUGGAAUUCCACGUGUAGCAGUGAAAUGCGUAGAGAUGUGGAGGAACACCGAUGGCGAAGGCAGCCCCCUGGGCUAACACUGACGCUCAUGCACGAAAGCGUGGGGAGCAAACAGG